UGGGGAAUUCUGGACAAUGGGCGCAAGCCUGAUCCAGCCAUGCCGCGUGCAGGAUGAAGGCCUUCGGGUUGUAAACUGCUUUUGUACGGAACGAAAAGACUCCUUCUAAUAAAGGGGGUCCAUGACGGUACCGUAAAAAUAAGCACCGGCUAACUACGUGCCAGCAGCCGCGGUAAUACGUAGGGUGCGAGCGUUAAUCGGAAUUACUGGGCGUAAAGCGUGCGCAGGCGGUUAUAUAAGACAGAUGUGAAAUCCCCGGGCUCAACCUGGGACCUGCAUUUGUGACUGUACGGCUAGAGUAUGGCAGAGGGGGGUGGAAUUCCACGUGUAGCAGUGAAAUGCGUAGAUAUGCGGAGGAACACCGAUGGCGAAGGCAAUCCCCUGGGCCUGUACUGACGCUCAUGCACGAAAGCGUGGGGAGCAAACA
rnacentral:rRNA from 1 species